rnacentral:rRNA from 1 species
CGCCUUUUGGAGUGAAUAAAAGGUCUAGCCUGCCCACUGAAAAAUUAAAGGGCCGCGGUAUAUUGACCGUGCAAAGGUAGCAUAAUCAUUAGUCUUCUAAUUAAAGGCUGGAAUGAAUGGCUGGACGAGGUGUUAACUGUCUCAUUAAGAUUAAAUUAGAAUUUAACUUUUUAGUCAAAAGGCUAAAAUGUAAUUGGAGGACGAGAAGACCCUAUAGAGCUUGACAUUUGAAAUGUUUAGUCUUUUUAGAUGGUAUUUGACUUAAUUAUAAAAAUGUUUCGUUGGGGUGACGGGGAGAUAAAAUAAACUCUCUCUAAUAUUAAAACAUUGAUGAAUGAAUAUAUGAUCCACUAAUAGUGAUUAUAAGACUAAGUUACCUUAGGGAUAACAGCGUAAUCUUUUUCGAGAGUUCUUAUCGACAAAAAGGGUUGCGACCUCGAUGUUGGAUUAAGGGUUAUUUUUGGGUGUAGAAGUUCAAAAUUUAGGUCUGUUCGACCUUUGAAUCCUUACAU